AUUGAACGCUGGCGGCAGGCCUAACACAUGCAAGUCGAACGGUAACAGGAAACAGCUUGCUGUUUCGCUGACGAGUGGCGGACGGGUGAGUAAUGUCUGGGAAACUGCCUGAUGGAGGGGGAUAACUACUGGAAACGGUAGCUAAUACCGCAUAACGUCGCAAGACCAAAGAGGGGGACCUUCGGGCCUCUUGCCAUCGGCUGUGCCCAGAUGGGAUUAGCUAGUAGGUGGGGUAACGGCUCACCUAGGCGACGAUCCCUAGCUGAUCUGAGAGGAUGACCAGCCACACUGGAACUGAGACACGGUCCAGACUCCUACGGGAGGCAGCAGUGGGGAAUAUUGCACAAUGGGCGCAAGCCUGAUGCAGCCAUGCCGCGUGUAUGAAGAAGGCCUUCGGGUUGUAAAGUACUUUCAGCGGGGAUGAAGGGAGUAAAGUUAAUACCUUUGCUCAUUGACGUUACCCGCAGAAGAAGCACCGGCUAACUCCGUG
rnacentral:rRNA from 1 species